CUAAUACUGAUUGGCUAUAUUGGCAGGGUGGGUAGCUUGGAAGGAAGGAUGGUUAUGGAACAGGUCAGAGCAAGUAACCAGGGGUCAAAGCAGGUGACUGGAGCAGGUGUCUGGGAUGAGUCAGGAUGGAGUAAGGGACGGGGGGAACAGAUAUGAAGUACUGAUUAGAACUGGUGACAAAGGUUGUUUACUGAAACUACAAGGAAAUUAAACUUUAAAAUGGAGAAUUAAAGAGUAAGAGAGCUGAGCAUACUGACAUACUGAUUCUUUGAAGAGAAACUUGGAGUUCACUAUAUCUGACAUUUGGGGAUCAAAGUUUUUAAAGACAAUUUGGUGAGAGGGGAGGGGCAGUGAAUCAGGGAGUGUGUGCUGAUUGGUUGGGUCAGAGGUGAAAUCCUAUGGUGUCCCAGUCUUCUUGUGCUGAGUCAAUUCUGGGUAGGGUCACAAGAUCAGAUCGGCUGGUUUCUCAUCUCAGUAGUGUCGAUGGAGCCAUCAAGUGUAGAGUCUGCAAAACAUCUCAAGCAUUCAUCUUAGAAGCAGUUUAGGGAGGGUCAGAAUCUUGUAGCCUCCAGUUAUGUGACUCCUAAACUAUAAUUUCUAAUCUUGUGGCUAAUGUUAGUAGUCUAGUUCCCAGGCAAAAAGAAGGUUUGUUUUGGGAAAGGGCUGUUAUCGUCUUUGUGACCUCUCAAUGGGUUCUGCCUAGACUUUUGAACAAAGUCCUGAGGACCAGGUCCCACCUCCAGACACUUGCCUCACAUAAUUCAUCUGGAGCAUGUUCCAGAUAUUGGUAUUUUUUAUUUUAAAGCAAUCAGGUAAUUCAACUGAAUAGCUGGGCUGAGAAUAACCUUUGUAUGAAGGCAUUCUAAAACAUUAGCAUUAAAAUAUUUAACUGUUAAAAAACUUGCUCAUGCAAAUUCUUCUUCUUGAAAUGUCCCUCUUAUCCUAUCUAUUGAUUUUGGUUUCAUCCUUACUUCUAUUUUACCUGUGAAGUUUUCCAGACUGAUUGUGGCUGAGACGGUGUUUCUUUCUGAAUUUUCAUGGUAUAUGUUUUAAACUAUAAAUUCUAAACUAAGUUCCUCCCAAAGUUAGUUCAGCCUAUGCCCAGGAAUGAGCAGGACAGCUUGGAGGUUAGAGGAAAGAUGGAGUCAUUUAAGUUGGACGUUUUUCACUGUCUCAGUCAUAAUUUUGCAAAGGCAGUUUCACCUUGACAUGCUCCUCCUGGCACACACACAGGCAGAGGUCCUUGUUCCUUCCAUAUGCUAAACCCAGAAAUCUGGCACAUGAUCCUCACCAGGAGGACUUCAAACAAAGUCCUGAGGACCAGGUCCCAGCUCCAGACACUUGCCUGAUGUCAUUCAUCUGGAGCAGGUUCCAGACAUUGAUUGUUUUUAUUUUAAAGCAAUUAGGUGAUUCAAUUGAUUAGCUGGGCUGAGAAUAACCUCUGUGUGAAGGCAUUCUAAAAUAUUAGCAAUGAAAUAUUUAACUGUUAAAAAACUACAUGACUUUUUUUUUUUCUAAAAGCUUUCUGCAUACAGUCUAAUUUAAUUCUCAUGUCAAUGAUUAGAGAUUUUGCAGUGGCAGAAACAGGCUCAGAGAGGUUAAGAAUAUGCUAGUAAGUAGAACGGGUUACACCUGGUCAGUGUGACUUGAAAGCUCAGAAUUUUAAUUGCUAAGAUAGAUGCUGGCCUGAUUUUCUUUGUUUUCUGCUUGGCUCAGAACUACUUGAAGGGGAAGACUAUUUUUUUUUUUCAUAUCUCUAUUUCCAUUGCUUAGCAUUAUGCCCCAUGUUAGCUGGAAACAAAUGAAUACUGAAUAUUUUUCAUGAAUGUGAGGGCUGUUCAACAGAGAGUUGGGUCUUAGCCCUGAAUUCUGGGUCUUCAGGGUUAUCAUUGUGUCUGGCUCAUGCAAAUUCUUCUUCCUUCUUAUCCUGUCCAUUGAUUUCGAUUUCAUACUCACUUCUAUUUUACCUGUGAAUUUUCCAGGCUAAUUGUGGCUGAAAUGGUGUUUCUUUCUGAUCUCUCAUGGUAUAUAAAACAUAUAGUAUUUGACCUAGGACUGAAUCUGUACCAUUCUCUUGCUGUAUGUGUAAAGACUGUACACUUUCAUUUUGAUCUUUAACAUAAUUGGAGUAAGAUUAUAAAUAUCACCAGAAUCUUCUCUUUUGAAUUUCUUAAAACUUCCAAUGUGGCCCUGAUAUAGAGUCCUUAUGAAUGGAUUUCUGUUUAUCUGUUAACUUUAUUCUGUUAAAUAAAUUUAAUAAUUUAUUGAAUUAUAGAAAAAUGUUUCUAACUUUGGAAAUAAAAUUAUUAGCAUCUAUAACUGAGUACAUAAAGGUUUAUUUAUUUAGUAAUAUAAAAUAAGUUAGCCUUGCACAAGCAUGCCACAGAAAGCAAGUAUAUUCAGAGGUUACAGAUACGUUUUAAAAUAAUAAAUAUACUCCUAUCUUUUCCUUUCUCUUUAUCUCUGUACAUAGAUGUAAUAUUCUCUUUACCAUAAGCCUACUUUUCCAAUCAUGGGCUUGUAUUUCAUAGACAUUACACCUUUAUGCAUGGGGAAUAAUUUUGGAAGGAGGUAGUGUAAUGUGAAGGUUAAAAGUGUAGUUUUGACAUAAUAUAUUAGACGGGCUACUGUUGGUAAUGUGAUCUCUCAGGCUCGGUUUCUUAAUCUGUGAAAUGGGAUAUUAGUAUUACUGUCUAAGGUUCUGGUGAAGAUUAAAUGAGACAUUAAAUAUCUUAAUGGAAUGGCCAUAAUUUGCACUUGAUGAGUGUUCAGAAUAUCAUUAUUAAAAUUUUAUUAUCAUUAAAAGGUUUAAAAUGUGAGCUCCUUUCAAAGGCACUUUAUAUCUCCAAAUAGCAGAAGGAAUGUUUUUGGACAAGUCGGUGUGGGCAGCCACCUAUUGCUCUGCUUGCCUCCUUUGUCACCCUUCCUUUGCAAGUCACAUGUUGGCAUCCCUUUGAACCCCAGCUGCAUCCACAUCAUAUGUGUAGUUCAUAGAAAGCGGCUGCCCGUUUUCACCACUCGCCCCUGUAUUUGAACUAAAGGAGAUGCAUAUUUUUGUUGUACCUGCAUUUCAGACUGUUUUGGGCACCGUCUAUGGGGAUGAUGGGCCAGUGCAGGAUGAGGGCUCAGGAACCAAGCUGAGGGGCUGAGGGAUUAGGUGGAACAUCAGAUCCCCCUGGCCAUUCUAGAGAGGGACCCUCAGGUGGGUAUGAGAGAUUUAGAUAAGUUCAGUCUACUGAAUCACUUAGAUAUAUCUGAUAUCUCUUUCCAGAUGAUUCAGCUGAAAUGGACACCAUUGUUUUACAAGAAGGGUCAGGGACAGACUAAUAUCAUACACACAUCCUCGUAGGAGUUUCUCUUAUUUCUUCUCCUCUCCAUUCACUUUUGGCAGAGUGUACUUCAUAUUAAAUAUUUAGCUUUGGAAUGAAGCCAUGGUGCAGUCAUGGAGGGGAGGGGCAGGAGAGUGGUUUGGAAAGAUGGGGAAGUGGAAGCCAUGGAAAACAGAGCUAGUGACAGGCUGUGGCACAGGUAGGGGUUUGCCUGUGAUUCAGCCAUUUCCAUGUGAUCACCCAGGCCUCUCUGGGAUAUGAUGUCUCAGCCUUACCAGAGUCACAAACAAUUCACGCCUUUAUAGUUCUAAACACCCAAGAGAGUUAUUCCCCUAGUGAUUCUGUAUGUAAGUAAAAAUGGUGAAAAUACUCAACACAGGUAAAGCCCAACAAGGUUUUGAGUUUAAUAUUCCCGAUGAUACUUCUUUAGGGACUAUUAAAUAUGAAAUUCUUCAAUUCUUUUCUCUCUAUCUUAAUGUUUUGGGUAUACUUUCCUUUCAGAAAACACAUGUCUAGUUUCAUUGGGAAAUUAGCAGCUUUGGCACUGCUGGGAGAACCAGGCUAUACUAGGAAAAUGCUGAAUGGUGCCCACAGGUACUGCCUUCAUUCCUUGCAGGACUUCAUGUCUCCAUGCCAAGGCCAAGAGGUUCUAUAUGCCUAAAUAUGAGGCUCAGGUAGCUCAGAAAAGCUGGACACCAUGGCUGGACCAAGCCUUUUGUUGCCUUUUCAAGUUGGCCAUUGAGCCUGCCACUAGGAAGAAGAUAGAGUUAAAAAACUAAGUCUCCCCCUCGAUCUGGACAAACAUUAAGCUAUGGUGUGGUUGACAGAUUAUCAAUAUUCUUUGUUUAUUUUUUUUUUUUUUGAGAUGGAGGCUCACUCUGUCACCCAGGCUGGA